CCCUCUCGUUGCCGACCCUCCGGGGCUAGCGCCCGAGAUCCCUUUCCCAGAGUGCUUUGCGCCGUGAAGAAGCGGCUCCCGGGGACUAGGGGCAUUUUGUGUUGGCUGGAGCCGGAGUAACAAGAUGGCGGCGUCGGCGGAGUGACAGGGGUCCCUCCGGGCGGGAGCCGGCGGCAGUGGUGGCAGCGGUAUCGCCGCCCUAAACCACCGCGCCCCUUUUCCAGCCCGCGACGUCGCCGUGAAAGCGAGCCAGCGGCGGCCGCCCAGAAACAAGUGGCCCAGGCUGGUAACCGCGAGAACCCCCUCAACAAACUGCGGCCUGGCGAAAAGAAGCCUGAGUGAGCGGCGGCGAUCAGGUUCCCCUCGGCCAAUUCUGGGCCCUGUAACGCCUUGAAAGAGCCAACGUUUUCCGUUUCCUGCCGCCCUCCUCCGCAGCCUUGUUCCGCGGACGAGCCCCAGAGGCCUCCGUCCCCCCCUCAGAGGUGUCGGGGCUUGGCCCCAGCCUCCAUCUUCAUCUCUCAGGAUGGCGAGCAGCAGUGGCUCCAAGGCCGAAUUCAUUGUCGGAGGGAAAUAUAAACUGGUACGGAAGAUCGGGUCUGGCUCCUUCGGGGACAUUUACCUGGCGAUCAACAUUACCAACGGCGAGGAAGUGGCAGUGAAGCUAGAAUCUCAGAAGGCCAGGCAUCCCCAGUUGCUGUACGAGAGCAAACUCUAUAAGAUUCUUCAAGGUGGGGUGGGCAUUCCCCACAUACGGUGGUAUGGUCAGGAAAAAGACUAUAAUGUGCUAGUCAUGGAUCUUCUUGGACCCAGCCUCGAAGACCUCUUCAAUUUCUGUUCAAGAAGGUUCACAAUGAAAACUGUACUUAUGUUAGCUGACCAGAUGAUCAGUAGAAUUGAAUAUGUGCAUACGAAGAAUUUUAUACACAGAGACAUUAAGCCAGAUAACUUCCUAAUGGGUAUUGGGCGUCACUGUAAUAAGUGUUUAGAAUCUCCAGUGGGGAAGAGGAAAAGAAGCAUGACUGUUAGUACUUCUCAGGACCCAUCUUUCUCAGGAUUAAACCAGUUAUUCCUUAUUGAUUUUGGUUUGGCCAAAAAGUACAGAGACAACAGGACAAGGCAACACAUACCAUACAGAGAAGAUAAAAAUCUCACUGGCACUGCCCGAUAUGCUAGCAUCAAUGCACAUCUUGGUAUUGAACAGAGUCGCCGAGAUGACAUGGAAUCAUUAGGAUAUGUUUUGAUGUAUUUUAAUAGAACCAGCCUGCCAUGGCAAGGACUAAAGGCUGCAACAAAAAAGCAAAAAUAUGAAAAGAUUAGUGAAAAGAAGAUGUCCACUCCUGUUGAAGUUUUAUGUAAGGGGUUUCCUGCAGAAUUUGCCAUGUACUUAAACUAUUGUCGUGGGCUGCGCUUUGAGGAAGCCCCGGAUUACAUGUAUCUGAGGCAGCUAUUCCGCAUUCUUUUCAGGACCCUGAACCACCAAUAUGACUACACAUUUGAUUGGACAAUGUUAAAGCAGAAAGCAGCACAGCAGGCAGCCUCUUCAAGUGGGCAGGGUCAGCAGGCCCAAACCCCCACAGGCAAGCAAACUGACAAAACCAAGAGUAACAUGAAAGCUUAACUUUUUCUGACUUCACCAAUUGCUGCUAGGAACGUGGCUGGUCACUCAGCAACGUAACCCAAAUCACAGGGGAAGACCUUGAAAUAUCUGGAAACUGAUCUUCUCUGAAUACACUCAGUCUAAAGAAGUGCCAGGGAGCUACUCUGCGUGCUGAAGUUUUUGUCAGCUUUUUUCACUGUGGACAGUACAACUGGAGAGGAAAGAGCCCAGUAACCCAACAGGAAGUGAAGAGAAGUGUGCAAGAAUUGAUUUGUGGCGAUCUGAAGCCCACAUCUUCAAGGCUUGCUGGACCUAUCAAAAACUUCAACUUGUCAGAUUGUCUGGAUGGAGACCACAACAGUUGGAAGACCUAGAAGAGUGCAGUGUUGCUGUGACUCAGUGGUGUAGAAUGCAGACCAUCUACCAGUUGGGGAAGGACUCAGUUGUAACAGGAACAAAGGGAUCCAUUCCUUAUUGUAACUGUUGUUGCAGUGAAGAUGGGUUUUGGGACUUUUAGAAGCCAGAAGCCAGGAGAGACCACCUAAACCACAAGAUAAAAACCAAGGACUCACGCACACUGGGAAAAAGAAUACCAGCACUUGAAGAUUAAAUGUUGAAUACCCACUGAAUGCUCCCAUUGAGAUUUUUCUUAAACUUCAGUAACAUCUUAGGACAGUUCACUGGAGAAACAUUGAUCCCUGGGUGGAGUAUCCUACUAUUGACCAAUCUGAAGAGUUAAAUCUGCGUUUGACUGCUCUCUUCUACCGGGAAUAUUUUUAGGCUAGCCUAUAUCUUAUCCCCUAAGCAAUUGUAAUCAUUAAUUGACCCAGGAAUCUCUAAAAUAUCAGAUUAAAAGAUGAACAGUACAAUUCUUAUCUAGAUAUAAUUUUUAUCCCUAUUAAAGUUGAGAGUUUUCUAAUAUUUUGACAAUAUAACUUAAGCCUUCUUUUUAGUGACAGUGGUUUCUAUUUUGAAGCUGUUUGGAUAUUCAACAUAGUAAUUAAAUUGCUCAAUAUAAUGUAA